rnacentral:rRNA from 1 species
UACGUAGGGGGCUAGCGUUAUCCGGAAUUACUGGGCGUAAAGGGUGCGUAGGUGGUUUCUUAAGUCAGAGGUGAAAGGCUACGGCUCGACCGUAGUAAGCCUUUGAAACUGGGAAACUUGAGUGCAGGAGAGGAGAGUGGAAUUCCUAGUGUAGCGGUGAAAUGCGUAGAUAUUAGGAGGAACACCAGUUGCGAAGGCGGCUCUCUGGACUGUAACUGACACUGAGGCACGAAAGCGUGGGGAGCAAACAGG